GUUCACAAGUUCAUUUUAACUUUGUUUCCAAAGUUGAGAGACGAGGGCGGGUUCGAGCUGCUGUAAAUUGCUUGAACUACACAGAGCCAUCAUCUUAUACCUGUCCCAUGCCCCAAUCGGGGCUACAGUUUGAGAUAUCUGAAAGACCCUUGUGUCGUGCUACUCUACAUUCGCCCGCUGUAAAGGAAAGUCUAAUUUCUCAGUUUAUGCACUUUUAAUGAACUUUAGAGCACUUACUAAUCCAAAGUAGAUAUGUUGAGUGUUAAGCAAUAUUUACAACAGAUAAUAACAAAAAUCUAUAGAUGAUAAGUGUCUUCUCUGGUUUUUGUAUUUAUUUAUGUAAUUUUCUCAUCAAUUAGGAACUGAAUGAUUCAGUUGUUGCUCAAAGUGGAUCAUUGACACAAUGCCUAAACUGUGAAGAACAACUUUACUUUGCACAAAUAAGAAGGCACAGUGAAGCCUGCUCCAUGUAAUGCUCUGAAUGGGAAAUUAAUCAUGGUGAUGUUGGGAAAAUAUGAUAUUCUCCAUUUAUGGAAGGUGCACUCAUCAUUACAAAUAAUGGUAUGGCCAUGUUGCACAUCAAUAACAUAACACUUAAGUAGUUUGAUCAUUUGUUAGUUUAGAUGUGGAAAAGGUACAAUUUAAUUGAGCUGUUCUGGGUGUUAACUUCUUGGUUCAUUGUUGCUGUACAUUUCUUUAUGAUAAAGAUGAUAAUUACAACACUUCAUUAUCAGGUGUUAUCAGCUGUUGUAGAGGGGAGUUAUGAAAAUGUUCUGUUUAGAUAGCUGUUAGUAUCUGAUAUACCUAACUCCUCGGCUCAACUCUUCAAGUCAAUCACAGGUUGAAAGGACGGGGGAGAAUGAUGGUGCAGCUGUCCCUAGAGCCGGUGGGACAAGUUCCUCCACCGGUCAGCAUCCAGUUGUAGAUUUGGCAAUGGAGCAAGUUCAUCUGGCACAUCAGCAGCAAGUGGUCCAGUAUACACCGUUGAUGAACCAAACCCGGUCAAGGCGGCUCAGCUGUUCACAUACUGGACACUUCAGUCCAACAAGGGCAAAGACUACCUGACCUUGAGUUUGAGGGAUUCCUUAGUGGAAAGGAACAGGGCCAUAAUCAUUUUUUCACAAUGGCAUCCAAUGGCUAGGUUUGCUGAGCUUGUGUAACUCUACAUUGACUGAUUUCAAAUAUGUUUACAAGGUGACUCUGCCAUUGGAGAGGGGGUCACCAGGUAUGUCCUGUCCACUGUCAUGGAGAAUCUUUUUAAUAUAUUGAUUUAUAGACUUGUAGAUUAUGUGAAACAGUUUUUCCCCAGGUCAGUCAAAAAGAGAACUGUUUAUUUAAGAAUACCUUGAUAUUUGAGGGUGAGCAGGACCAUUGUGUUC